CACGUAGGGGCCAAGCGUUGUCCGGAUUCAUUGGGCGUAAAGAGCUCGUAGGCGGUUCAGUUAGUCGGGUGUGAAAAUCUCCGGGCUCAACCCCGGAGGGGCCACCCGAUACUGCUGUGACUCGAGUCCGGUAGGGGGAGUGGGGGAAUUCCUGGUGUAGCGGUGGAAAUGACGCAGAUAUCAGGAGGAACACCGGUGGCGAAGGCGCCACUCUGGGCCGGUACUGACGCUGAGGGAGCGAAAGCGUGGGUAGCAAACAGG
rnacentral:rRNA from 1 species